rnacentral:rRNA from 1 species
GACGAACGCUGGCGGCGUGCUUAACACAUGCAAGUCGAACGGAAAGGCCCUGCUUUUGUGGGGUGCUCGAGUGGCGAACGGGUGAGUAACACGUGAGUAACCUGCCCUUGACUUUGGGAUAACUUCAGGAAACUGGGGCUAAUACCGGAUAGGAGCUCCUGCUGCAUGGUGGGGGUUGGAAAGUUUCGGCGGUUGGGGAUGGACUCGCGGCUUAUCAGCUUGUUGGUGGGGUAGUGGCUUACCAAGGCUUUGACGGGUAGCCGGCCUGAGAGGUGACCGGCCACAUUGGGACUGAGAUACGGCCCAGACUCCUACGGGAGGCAGCAGUGGGGAAUAUUGCACAAUGGGCGGAAGCCUGAUGCAGCAGCGCCGCGUGCGGGAUGACGGCCUUCGGGUUGUAAACCGCUUUCGCCUGUGACGAAGCGUGAGUGACGGUAAUGGGUAAAGAAGCACCAGCUAACUACGUG